rnacentral:rRNA from 1 species
GACGAACGCUGGCGGCGUGCUUAACACAUGCAAGUGGAGCGACGAACCAGGGCUUGCCCUGGGGCAGAGCCGCGAACGGGUGAGUAACACGUGGGUAACGUGCCCCGAUGACUGGGACAACCCGAGGAAACUCGGGCUAAUACCGGAUAUGCCCCCUCACGAGAGUGAGGUGUGUAAAGGAAGCUUCGGCCUCCGCAUCGGGAUCGGCCCGCGGCGCAUUAGCUUGUUGGUGGGGUAACGGCCACCAAGGCGACGAUGCGUAGCUGGUCUGAGAGGACGAUCAGCCACACUGGGACUGAGACACGGCCCAGACUCCUACGGGAGGCAGCAGUGGGGAAUAUUGCGCAAUGGGCGAAAGCCUGACGCAGCGACGCCGCGUGUGGGAUGACGGCC